rnacentral:rRNA from 1 species
UGGGGAAUAUUGGACAAUGGGCGCAAGCCUGAUCCAGCAACGCCGCGUGGAGGAUGAAGGUCUUCGGAUCGUAAACUCCUGUCAGGCGGGACGAAGGUGCGGGGGCGAACAGUUCUCGUACUUGACGGUACCGUCAGAGGAAGCCCCGGCUAACUCCGUGCCAGCAGCCGCGGUAAUACGGAGGGGGCGAGCGUUAUUCGGAAUUAUUGGGCGUAAAGGGCGCGUAGGCGGCUGUGUAAGUCAAAGGUGAAAUCCCUCGGCUCAACUGAGGAACUGCCUUUGAAACUGCACGGCUUGAGGCCGGGAGGGGGUAGCGGAAUUCCCAGUGUAGCGGUGAAAUGCGUAGAUAUUGGGAGGAACACCAGUGGCGAAGGCGGCUACCUGGACCGGUACUGACGCUGAUGCGCGAAAGCGUGGGUAGCAAACAGGAUUAGAUACCCCCGUAGUCC